UCGAGAAUUUUUCACAAUGGGCGCAAGCCUGAUGGAGCGACGCCGCGUGGGGGAUGAAUGGCUUCGGCCCGUAAACCCCUGUCAUUUGCGAUCAAACCUUAUUAUUUAAAAGAUGAUAAGUUGAUAGUAGCGAAAGAGGAAGGGACGGCUAACUCUGUGCCAGCAGCUGCGGUAAUACAGAGGUCCCAAGCGUUGUUCGGAUUCGCUGGGCGUAAAGGGUGCGUAGGUGGUGGGGUAAGUCGGAUGUGAAAGCUCGGAGCUCAACUCCGAAAUGGCAUUGGAAACUACCCUGCUAGAGGAUUGGAGGGGGCUGGAAUACUUGGUGUAGCAGUGAAAUGCGUAGAUAUCAAGUGGAACACCAGUGGCGAAGGCGAGUCCCUGGACAAUUCCUGACACUGAGGCACGAAAGCUAGGGGAGCAAACAGGAUUAGAUACCCUGGUAGUCCUAGCCGUAAACGGUGCACGUUUGCUGUAAAAGG
rnacentral:rRNA from 1 species